UUUUUUUUAUCUUGCAUUUUUUUUUUUAUCUUGCAUUUUUUUUUUAUCUUGCAUAAUUUUUUUAUCUCGCAUAAUUUUUUUAUCUCGCAUAAUUUUUUUAUCUUGCAUAAUUUUUUUUUUUUUUUCAUAUUCAAAAGUGAAUUUAAUUAAAAAUGAACUUAAUCAAAAGUGAAUUUAAUCAAAAGUGAAUUUAAUCAAAAGUGAAUUUAAUCAAAAGUGAACUUAAUUAAGACGACCAAAAAUAAACCUCUAAAAGAAAGUUUCUAAAACUGUUAUAAAAAAUUUUUAUGGUAUGAUGGCACAAUGACAUAAAAUUAUUAAAAAAAAAAAAAAAAAAAAAAAAACACUUUUUGCGAUAAAAAUUAUUUCGCUAGCGUCAAUACAUAACAUAUUUAGUUACUGUAUACUCUUAACGCAUUAAUAUGCUAUUAACACAUUAAUAUGCUAUAUUUUUAGUUUUGUAAAAGCUAAUACAAUUUUUCCUUAUUUUUCCUUAUGUUUCCUUAUUUUUUUUUUUCUUUUAACAAUAUUAUUAAUAUAAAUUUAAAUAAAUUAUCGUUUUUUUAGAAAAACAGUUCAUUCUUAGAUUGAAUUAGAUUAAAAUACGUAUAUUACUAAGUACGUAUACAUUACAUAAAUAUUACAUAAAAUAUAUUUUUUUUUUUACCUUCCGUACGUAUGUUCUAUUUUGAACAAUAAUUACAACAAUUUAUUUCAUAUAUGCGUAUAUAUAUAUGUAUAUAUAUAUAUAUACAUACAAUCCCUUUCUACCCCUCAAGAUAAUAAAAAUAUUUCCAUUAUGUGGGAACAAAAUACAUCACAAUAUUGCACUGGACGCUUUAAAAAUCAAAUAGAAUUGCUCCAAAAUAAUAAAAUGUAAUGGAAACUUAAACAAGAACAACAUCAUAUCUAUAAUUUAUAAAGUUGUUAAAAAUAUAAAAAAAAAGGUAAGAUGAAACAAAACAAAAAACAAAAAUAAUUCAAACUAUGCACGUUGGGGAUAUAUGUCUAUUCGAAUUUAAAAAAUUGUACAAAUAUAUCAUUUUGAAAUAUGCAAGAUAUGGUAGUUUUAAAUGGAAAAAAAAACUUUUAAGUUUAUA
rnacentral:lncRNA from 1 species